rfam:Mesocricetus auratus contig066879, whole genome shotgun sequence.
UCACGGUCUCAUACCACCUUCAACGUGCCCAGUCUCAUCUGAUCUCAGAAGCUACGCAGGGUUGGGCAUGGUUAGUACAUGGAUGGGAGGCCUGUUUAAUUUGUAAGGCAUCAU